rnacentral:rRNA from 1 species
GUUAUCACUCCUACGGGAGGCAGCAGUGGGGAAUAGUUGCACAAGUGGGGGAAACCCUGAUGCAGCCAUGCCGCGUGUGUGAAGAAGGCCGUUCGGGUUGUAAAGCACUUUCAGGUAGGGAGGAAGGUAGUGUAGUUAACACCUGCAUUAUUUGACGUUACCUACAGAAGAAGCACCGGCUAACUCCGUGCCAGCAGCCGCGGUAAUACGGAGGGUGCGAGCGUUAAUCGGAAUUACGUGGGCGUAAAGCGCAUGCAGGCGGCCUGUUAAGUCAGAUGUGAAAGCCCGGGGCUUAACCUCGGAAUUGCAUUUAGAAACUGGCAGGCUAGAGUCUUGUAGAGGGGGUAGAAUUUCAGGUGUAGCGGUGAAAAUGCGUAGAGAUCUGAAGGAAUACCAGUGGCGAAGGCGGCCCCCUGGACAAAGACUGACGCUCAGAUGCGAAAGCGUGGGGAGCAAACAGGAUUAGAUACCCUGGUAG